GACGAACGCUGGCGGCGUGCUUAACACAUGCAAGUCGAACGGAAAGGCCCUGCUUUUGUGGGGUGCUCGAGUGGCGAACGGGUGAGUAACACGUGAGUAACCUGCCCUUGACUUUGGGAUAACUUCAGGAAACUGGGGCUAAUACCGGAUAGGAGCUCCUGCUGCAUGGUGGGGGUUGGAAAGUUUCGGCGGUUGGGGAUGGACUGGCGGCUUAUCAGCUUGUUGGUGGGGUAGUGGCUUACCAAGGCUUUGGUGGGUAGCCGGCCUGAGAGGGUGACCGGCCACAUUGGGACUGAGAUACGGCCCAGACUCCAACGGGAGGCAGCAGUGGGGAAUAUUGCACAAUGGGCGGAAGCCGGAUGCAGCAACGCCGCGUGCGGGAUGACGGCCUUCGGGUUGUAAACCGCUUUCGCCGGUGACGAAGCGUGAGUGACGGUAAUGGGUAAAGAAGCACCGGCUAACUACGUG
rnacentral:rRNA from 1 species